rnacentral:rRNA from 1 species
AUUGAACGCUGGCGGCAGGCCUAACACAUGCAAGUCGAACGAGUGGCGGACGGGUGAGUAAUGUCUGGGAAACUGCCUGAUGGAGGGGGAUAACUACUGGAAAAGGUAGCUAAUAGCGCAUACCAUCGGAUGUGCCCAGAUGGGAUUAGCUAGUAGGUGGGGUAACGGCUCACCAAGGCGACGAUCCCUAGCUGGUCUGAGAGGAGGACCGGCCACACUGGAACUGAGACACGGUCCAGACUCCUACGGGAGGCAGCAGUGGGGAAUAUUUCGCAAUGGGCGCAAGCCUGAUGCAGCCACGCCGCGUGUGUGAAGAAGGCCUUCGGGUUGUAAAGUACUUUCAUCGGGGAGGCGUUACCUGCAGAAGAAGCACCGGCUAACUCCGUGCCAGCAGCCGCGGUAAUUC